ACAUCGAAUUCCCUUGAUCGUUAUUUAGCAAAACGAGUUACUUCCAGUAUUCAUUUAAAUCUUUACUUUUAAAAUAUAUAUCUAUUUUAUGUUAGUUUGCUGUCUAUUCAUGCAGAAAAUGCAUUUGAAAAACAAAUGUCUAAAAAUAGUUGAGUUUUGAAGUUCGAUGGUCGGGUCUAUUUUGGUGAAAGGGGUACAGCAUGGGUAAUAGUACAAUAAUAAGUCAUGAUCGUGCUUAUGAACAAGCCAUGAGUUAGCAUAUACCAUAGUUUAUGUUGAAAAUAUCUUUACAGAUGUAAUUGAUAAAUAUAGUCUUAAGAAUUCGCCAAAUAUAGAAAAGUUCUUGGUAUAUUAUCCACCUGUUAGCAAAAUGAACUCGCCCAUUGACCCACAUUCCAGUUUGUUGUGGUAUUUUUGUACAGGGUGAUGCCAAAACAGUGCCUUUUGUUGACUGGUAAACAUUCCUUCAGUUACUAAAAUGCCUUUUUCUUUAAUUUCAGCUGGUUGCAUGGUGUGUACUGCAGAUAACUUCUCGACUUAAUCCGGCUGAUGUGAUGCUUUAGUUGAUUCGAGAGGCUACAUGUAUAUAGGUCCAGUACGUCGACAUCAUUGAUCCGGCAGUGAACAAGAUAAGUGGUUCAGCCUCCAAGAUGUGUCACCAGAAAUGCAACCGACAUUAUAGACAGGCAUGAUUACUACUCUGAUUUUGGACAGAUGGUAUACUCGUCUUCAAAAUGGAUCUGACUAGGAAUGAUGAUGGUGACUUCCCUCCUCAGAAAAAAGCUCGGUUGGAUUCGAAAGUUGGUGCAGGCGGUCAUUAGCGAUAUUUCGGUCGUAAACGCAAGAAGUCCAAGAAAUCCACUGACAAAUCAGGAAAACGUAUAUUCAAUGUCGGCGACACGUGUUUGUUCAGAUUGGACGUUUAUCUUGGAACCGUUCUUAGUCAAGUUGAUGAACAUCAUUUCCAAAUUGAGGACUAUACAGGAACAGUGCGCACCUUCAUUUGUCUGUCACUUUGAUUAAAAGAAAGUUAAAGUUGAAACUUCUAUAGCAAGGAAUAUGAAGAUGUGAACUUUGUAUUAUUAUUUUUUGAAUGUAUGAGUCUAUUGAAUGUAAAUUAAAUGCAUAUUGUGAAUAAUUAAUAAUAAUAAU